rnacentral:misc_RNA from 1 species
UCUCCGUUGGUGAACCAGCGGAGGGAUCAUUGCCGAGUUUACAACUCCCAAACCCCUGUGAACAUACCUAUCGUUGCCUCGGCGGUGCCCGCUCCGGCGGCCCGCCAGAGGACCCCCAAACUCUUGUUUUAUACAGUAUCUUCUGAGUAACACGAUUAAAUAAAUCAAAACUUUCAACAACGGAUCUCUUAGUUCUG